GGAAAGGCGCGCGAUACAGGGUGACAGCCCCGUACACAAAAAUGCACAUGCUGUGAGCUCGAUGAGUAGGGCGGGACACGUGGUAUCCUGUCUGAAUAUGGGGGGACCAUCCUCCAAGGCUAAAUACUCCUGACUGACCGAUAGUGAACCAGUACCGUGAGGGAAAGGCGAAAAGAACCCCGGCGAGGGGAGUGAAAAAGAACCUGAAACCGUGUACGUACAAGCAGUGGGAGCACGCUUAGGCGUGUGACUGCGUACCUUUUGUAUAAUGGGUCAGCGACUUAUAUUCUGUAGCAAGGUUAACCGAAUAGGGGAGCCGAAGGGAAACCGAGUCUUAACUGGGCGUUAAGUUGCAGGGUAUAGACCCGAAACCCGGUGAUCUAGCCAUGGGCAGGUUGAAGGUUGGGUAACACUAACUGGAGGACCGAACCGACUAAUGUUGAAAAAUUAGCGGAUGACUUGUGGCUGGGGGUGAAAGGCCAAUCAAACCGGGAGAUAGCUGGUUCUCCCCGAAAGCUAUUUAGGUAGCGCCUCGUGAAUUCAUCUCCGGGGGUAGAGCACUGUUUCGGCAAGGGGGUCAUCCCGACUUACCAACCCGAUGCAAACUGCGAAUACCGGAGAAUGUUAUCACGGGAGACACACGGCGGGUGCUAACGUCCGUCGUGAAGAGGGAAACAACCCAGACCGCCAGCUAAGGUCCCAAAGUCAUGGUUAAGUGGGAAACGAUGUGGGAAGGCCCAGACAGCCAGGAUGUUGGCUUAGAAGCAGCCAUCAUUUAAAGAAAGCGUAAUAGCUCACUGGUCGAGUCGGCCUGCGCGGAAGAUGUAACGGGGCUAAACCAUGCACCGAAGCUGCGGCAGCGACGCUGAUGCGUUGUUG
rnacentral:rRNA from 1 species